UUCAGGCAAGUUUAAUCGGACACAGAUCUCAUCGAGCAGCGCGUUCUUCUGCUUCUGGGUCAAAAUGUCUCUCGGUCGGUUAUUACUGCGAGCUACAACUUUAAAUAAGACCGUGAGCAGAAACGCUUUCACUGCGACCAAGCCAGAUCCCUCCAAACCCAACAUGCUUCGAGUGGGUCUGGCUUUCGGGACCACAGCUGUCCUGUGGACGAUGCUCUUUAAACAACACUGGAGUGACGUAGAGGAAUACAAAGCAAGAAACGGCCUGGAGGAAUGAGUCGUAACGGUUUAGGAAAUCAGGAAGUGUCCUAGAGCAAGUGAGCGAUAUAGCGAAUAGCUGGUCAACAUUCCCCCCCCAUACCUGUGCACUUCACUGCUUUGGUGUCGUCUAUAAUGAUGUAUAAUAAAGAUGUACAUGUGUUAAUUA